AUACGGAGGAUCCGAGCGUUAUCCGGAUUUAUUGGGUUUAAAGGGAGCGUAGGCGGACUAUUAAGUCAGCUGUGAAAGUUUGCGGCUCAACCGUAAAAUUGCAGUUGAUACUGGUCGUCUUGAGUGCAGUAGCGGUAGGCGGAAUUCGUGGUGUAGCGGUGAAAUGCUUAGAUAUCACGAAGAACUCCGAUUGCGAAGGCAGCUUACUGGACUGUAACUGACGCUGAUGCUCGAAAGUGUGGGUAUCAAACAGGAUUAGAUACCCUGGUAGUCCACACAGUAAACGAUGAAUACUCGCUGUUUGCGAUAUACAGUAAGCGGCCAAGCGAAAGCGUUAAGUAUUCCACCUGGGGAGUACGCCGGCAACGGUGAAACUUAAAGGAAUUGACGGGG
rnacentral:rRNA from 1 species